UUCCGUUCCACCGCACGCAGGUCGCGACAA
rnacentral:sRNA from 1 species